UCUUUUGACCAGGCAGCUCUGAGGAUCUGAGGCAGUACUGCCAGAUGUCUGCUAGAGAGUGGGGAAGAGAAGGGACUGACACAGGGCCCCCCUCCAUCCCCUACCAUUAGGUAAAGUAGCUGUCAACAUUAUAGUUGUGCAGGCACUUUGGCCACUCUAGAGAACCUCGGACCAAUCGCACGUCCCCAUGACGGCGACAACGCAUUCGGAUGUCUGCCCUAUCAACUUUCGAUGGACUUUUUGCGCCUAUAAUGGUGACCACGGGUAAUGGGGAAUCAGGGUUUGAUUCCAGA